rnacentral:rRNA from 1 species
GAUGAACGCUGGCGGCGUGCCUAAUACAUGCAAGUCGAGCGAACAGACGAGGAGCUUGCUCCUCUGACGUUAGCGGCGGACGGGUGAGUAACACGUGGAUAACCUACCUAUAAGACUGGGAUAACUUCGGGAAACCGGAGCUAAUACCGGAUAAUAUACUGAACCGCAUGGUUCAAUAGUGAAAGACGGUUUUGCGGUCACUUAUAGAUGGAUCCGCGCCGCAUUAGCUAGUUGGUAAGUUAACGGCUUACCAAGGCAACGAUGCGUAGCCGACCUGAGUGAGGGAUCGGCCACACGGGAACUGAGACACGGUCCAGACGCCUACGGGAGGCAGCAGUAGGGAAUCUUCCGCAAUGGGCGAAAGCCUGACGGAGCAACGCCGCGUGAGUGAUGAAGGUCUUCGGAUCGUAAAACUCUGUUAUUAGGGAAGAACAAAUGUGUAAGUAACUAUGCACGUCUUGACGGUACCUAAUCAGAAAGCCACGGCUAACUACGUG